AUUUUAGGAAAUGAUUCAAAAAAUUUUGAAAAUAAGGCAAUACUAUAUUUUUUAUUUCUUUCCUUGUUGAUUCCUUGUCCUUUAAGGAAAAUAGCAAUCAAAUCACAAUUUAUUUUCUUUCCUUCUACAUCCCAAUUUGAAUUCGAAUUCAAAUUUUUUUAUCUCAAACAAUGGGCUGCUCGAUCGAUAAUUAAGUUCAGAACAGAAGUAUGAUAGAUUAUGUUCAGAAUAGAACAGCUCGGGAGUUAAAAGGAAGGGAAUUUUGUUUGUUUUCAGAUUUGGUAAUAAUAUUUCAUGCAAAAGUGUGUCGGCACAUAAGUAUUUUGUUACCAAGUGUUUGGCACGAGCCCAUGCGGCGGUACUUAAAUCCUUGAUAUCUGCAGUAAUAUAGUGUUU
rnacentral:lncRNA from 1 species